rnacentral:rRNA from 1 species
GGGUUGUGAGGUUAAGCGACUAAGCGUACACGGUGGAUGCCCUGGCAGUCAGAGGCGAUGAAGGACGUGCUAAUCUGCGAAAAGCGUCGGUAAGGUGAUAUGAACCGUUAUANCCGGCGAUGUCCGAAUGGGGAAACCCAGUGNNAUUCGUNNCACUAUCGUUAACUGAAUACAUAGGUUAACGAGGCGAACCGGGGGAACUGAAACAUCUAAGUACCCCGAGGAAAAGAAAUCAACCGAGAUUCCCCCAGUAGCGGCGAGCGAACGGGGAGCAGCCCAGAGUCUGAAUCAGCUUGUGUNUUAGUGGAACGGUCUGGAAAGUCCGACGGUACAGGGUGAUAGUCCCGUACACCAAAAUGCACAGGCUGUGAACUCGAAGAGUAGGGCGGGACACGUGGUAUCCUGUCUGAAUAUGGGGGGACCAUCCUCCAAGGCUAAAUACUCCUGACUGACCGAUAGUAAACCAGUACCGUGAGGGAAAGGCGAAAAGAACCCCGGCGAGGGGAGUGAAAAAGAACCUGAAACCGUGUACGUACAAGCAGUGGGAGCACCUUCGGGUGUGACUGCGUACCUUUUGUAUAAUGGGUCAGCGACUUAUAUUCUGUAGCAAGGUUAACCGUAUAGGGGAGCCGCAGGGAAACCGAGUCUUAACUGGGCGUUAAGUUGCAGGGUAUA